AAUUAGACUUUUAUUGAUCCAGCCUAUGAAUUUCUAGAAGAAAGAAUGUAAUCUCAAAAGGGUUUGUAAUUUGUAUCAACAAUGAUUAUGAUUUUCGCCAAUUGCAGUAAGUAGCAAUCUAUUCUAAUUCCAUUAUCUCCCAACUCCCAUUCUGCAAUUUCCCUUUCUAUUAAGCAUUUAUGUAUCAAUCUCACUUAGCAAAUUGGUCACACUCAACCAGUAUCGCAAAACAGAAGACAACCCUCUUCUUCCCAAAAAAUAGAAGCUCAUGAUGAAGAUUUAGCACUGCCAAAGAAAAAAGUCAAAACCCUCUUCUUCCCAAAAGGACCACGUCCAUGGUUUUGAGGUGUGUGUGAAAAAUUUAUAAUACUAGAUUUUUCUCUAUAAUUUAGUUGGAAGAUUUGGUUUGUUAUAAAUAUUGUAACUUUUAAUGGUUAUGUUUCAUAACUGGUGUUCAUCCCCAUUGGCUUUCACAAACGACACCUUCAAUAUGUGGAGGCAGUCUGGGUGAGAAUGGAUUUAAACCGUAUUUCUAUUUUGGUUUCAGUUUAAUAUUUUGUUUAUUAAUUUCAUUUAUGUUCUAAUUGAUUAUGGGACACACUGAAGUAGAAAAAAAAAGAGUAAAUUCUGAGAAAAUGCAUGAUCAUAAUAUAUUGUGGUGUUCUUUAGUCUAUUUUGUGGUGUUCUUCUAAGGUAUAUCAAGGUACUUAAUUUUUUGGUGUACUUGAUCUCUCUAUCGACAUUUUUGUAAGAGGAAUUCUGUUCAAGUAUAGCCUUUGGGUUGUCGAACUAACUCGGGUUCAUUAGUACUAGGUAUGGUUUUGAGGUGCUAAAGAGGAUUGUAAUAUCAAAGUCUAUGGUGGAAGUAUAAUUAUUAUUGUGAAGUAAAAGCAUUUUCGGCUGUAAUACGUACACCUAAUUUUCAACUCAUAAUAGAUGUCAUUUUUAUUUAUUGAUGAUUUGGUAAAUAAAGAUUACAUGUGUAAUACUAAUUUGUAUUUAUUACAUCUUCUUCAUGACUAAAAUCCCAUUCAAAGAAUUUAGGAUUGUUCUGCUUUCUUUAAUUAAUCUAGGUUUAAAAGGUACUUAAUUUUAUGGUGUUCUUUAGUCUAUUUUUACAUCAUGUGAUAUGUCCUGUAUUUUUACUCUAAGUUUAAAAGGUACUUAAUUUUGUGGUGUUCUUUAGUCUAUUUUGUGGUGUUCUUUUAAGGUAUAUCUGAAACAAUCUUGAUAUAUUUGAAAAUCUUGAGACUAAAUUUUAUAUUAUGAUUUUCAUGAAGGAGAAAGCAAGACUUGAAGAGUAACAGUGGAGGUGGAGCUCUGCCACAUCCCAAUAGUUCGAUUUAAUCUUGGUGUUGUGAAAGGAGAGAUAGAUAUGAGCAGCUGUUUGUUCACUAGAAGAAAUUACCUAGAGACUUCUCAAUUUAUAGGCACACAUUCAAUUUCAAACUCUUGCCUAAAUUUGCUGGAAGUUUUGGUUUAACUUAGUAUUCUUCUCAAUUCAAGGUAUGCUUUUCUCUUUUGUUCUUUUCAAAUUUUUAUGACUUAUCUGUUCUCUUUCUACAUAUGACUAUCCAAAAUUUAUGAGCUUUAUAUUAUUUAAAUUUAUAUUUAAUGUAUAUGGUUUAUAAUACAGGAUUGGCUUUUAUUUCUGUCACCACUGAUCCUAUGCUUCAAAGCCUCGUUGUCAUAUAUUAGGUUCCCUUAUAAUUUGAAGUAUUCCUCUGAUUAAUUAUCCACUAAGUAUAAAAAUUGGUGACUUCUGUUUUUGAAUUCAUUAGCUUAUGCCUAUUAUUGUUCUUAUAUCUCCCUCCCUAUUGAUGUUUAUUUGACUCAUUGAUGAAUUAGAAUAAGAUAAUAUAAUUACUUUGCUCAAUUAGACUUAUUUAUUUAUUGAGAUACCAACAUGUAGGUGCGCUCCCAUAUUUUUAAGUGCUCUUAAGUCACUGUUCAAAAACUUGCAACCGGAGCUCAACUGUAUUCGGUGCCAAAAGUUGGAUUGCUCCCGCGUGUCGAUGAUAAUGGCGUUAUUGUCCCAAGACAUGUUCCCUGAAGUUAUUACCAAAAUUCUGUCUCAUCUAGCUGUAAGCUUGUGUUUUCAAACUGCUAUGUAUUUUGUGAGAAACAAGCUAUCGAAAAACCAUUUGUAUGGCCCAUGUCUUCCAAUUUCGUAGUUGUCUUAUAUGAGUUUUUGUUAGAUUCUUUUGCUUGGCGGGAUUGGAAAAGGUGGGAGAAGGAGAUCCCAAGUCUCAUUUUUUCUUCACAAAACUUACAUUCAAAAUCAAUGCACUGCCAGAACUGUACUUAGUUGUUGUUGAUAUUUAAUUCUUAAAUUAAAUUUCAUUAGUGCCCCUAUAUUGAUACUCUUUUUUGAUGUUUUACACUUUUUUUAUACAGAAAUUUAAUAUGAGCAGUAAGGAUUUGGAUUAUUUCUUUGGAGGCCCUGCAUUCCUAGCAUGGUCUCGUAUGGGAAAUUUUCAUGGGUGAGUUAACGAGUAGCUGAACUAAGUGAACUCAUUUAUAAUUUAUGAUAUAGCGAGUAUAUAAUAAUGUGUAUAUUUUUUUUUAAUAUUCUUAUUAUUAUAAAUUUUAUAGUAUUCAUUGGAUUAGAUUACUUUAGUAAGAAAAAUAAAAACUUUCCAUGAGAAUAAGUACUGGUUAGGAAACUCAUAAAUGCACAUGGUUAUAUUAUGGAUGUGAAGAGCAAGAGUCAUCGAAUAAUGAAUCUUAUCUUAAUCAUCAUAAAAAUAAUAUUAAUAAUUAUUUUUACAGAAAUAUAGGUUGUUUAUCCAAAAAACUACGGAGAAAACAUGGAGAAUUCAAUUGUAUGUAGAUUCAAAACGAACAAUGAGUCUAAAGUACAAUCAAUUCACCAUUCAAGCAGCUGAGCCGAUGGAAGAUUAGGAAGAAGUUUUACUAUACUCUUUUUAGUUUUUCUAAUAAUAUUAUAUAUUAAGACUUUAUUUAAUAAUUUUUUUUCUAUUUUAAGAUCGCACAUUUUUUUAAAUUUUUGUUAAAUAAUAUUUGCUUUAAAUUUUGUCAAACACAUCUAUUGUUUCUUUAAAUUUUCUAUAAGUAAAUAAUAAAUAUUAUUUUCAUAUAUUGUUAUGACUUAUAUAUACACAAUUAUAUUUUACUAACCAAAUAUAAUAACACAACUAUUACUCUAAUAAAACAAUCAUUCACAUAAUCAUUACUUUUAGUUACAACAAUUUAAAUAAAAAUAAAUAACUAAACUUUAAAUAAAAUUAAUAUUUACGUGCCUCGGAACGUAACUUCUACCUAGUAAAUAUUAAAUAUACAUAUAUAUAAAUAUACAAUAAUUUAUCUUUAGUUUGAACUCAUUACUCAUUAAAUACAUUAAUCAUAGUGAUCUUAGGCUUAAGAAAUUUAUUAGCACCCCAAAAAAAUUAAAAUAAGGUUGUUGAGACUUUAUAUUCUAAGUUUUUUGAGGAAACUUUCAACAAAACAAAUUAAUUAAGAAUUUAUUAAAAAAUAAAUAAAAAUCGCAAACAUAUAAAUAUCUCUCUUAUAAUUUUUCGUUUAUUCAAGACAUUAUAAUUUUGCGGCCCAUAAUAUGAUUAAGUGGACUUUCGCUAAAAAUGUUACUGGUACCGAGCUUUUUUUUAUACUAGACUACAUAAUCUUAUGUAAUGACGGUAGAAUUCUCUAUAAUAAAUAAAAUAAGUAGAAUUCAAUAAAAAAUUGUACCAAUAGUGAUAUUAGAUAUAAUAUUUCUCUAUAUAUUAUAUGUUAUGAAAAGCAUUGCAACGAGGCAUUAAGGUGCCUAAAAUUUUUAUGACAUGACGUCUUAUAAUUAGUUAGCGGUAUUCUAUAAUUUUUGUUAAAUUAAAAUAAGUAAAACAUGAUAUUGAAUUUCACCAAUAGUGAUAGAGUUUUUUGCGGUUAAACUCUCUCAACUAUCAUUCU